rnacentral:rRNA from 1 species
UGGGGAAUAUUGCGCAAUGGGCGAAAGCCUGACGCAGCAACGCCGCGUGAGUGAUGAAGGCCUUCGGGUCGUAAAGCUCUGUCGGAGGGAACGAAUGCUCUUGAGGUUAACAGCCUCGGGAGGUGACGGUACCCUCAAAGGAAGCACCGGCUAACUCUGUGCCAGCAGCCGCGGUAAUACAGAGGGUGCAAGCGUUGUUCGGAAUCAUUGGGCGUAAAGGGCGCGUAGGCGGCAAUUCAAGUCAUCUGUGAAAUCUCCGGGCUUAACUCGGAACGGUCAGAUGAUACUGCUUUGCUAGAGUGCAGAAGGGGCAAUCGGAAUUCUUGGUGUAGCGGUGAAAUGCGUAGAUAUCAAGAGGAACACCUGAGGUGAAGACGGGUUGCUGGCCUGUAACUGACGCUGAGGCGCGAAAGCUAGGGGAGCAAACGGGAUUAGAUACCCGCGUAGUCCCUGAGCGGGCUGGCAAGGCGCAU